rnacentral:rRNA from 1 species
UACGUAGGGACCAAGCGUUGUUCGGAUUUACUGGGCGUAAAGGGCGCGUAGGCGGCAAUUCAAGUCAGUUGUGAAAUCUCCGAGCUUAACUCGGAACGGUCAACUGAUACUGUUUUGCUAGAGUACAGAAGGGGCAAUCGGAAUUCUUGGUGUAGCGGUGAAAUGCGUAGAUAUCAAGAGGAACACCUGAGGUGAAGACGGGGUUGCUGGGCUGAUACUGACGCUGAGGCGCGAAAGCUAGGGGUAGCAAACGGGG